rnacentral:lncRNA from 1 species
GCGUAAUCAGAUUUUAACAAUUAAAUUCAAAACGGCCAUUGGAUUCAUCAUAUUGCUCGACAACGAAAGAAAAGAAAAAUAAAGCGGUCACAUAAGACCAAAGAGAAUUCAUACAAAACCAAACAAGUUCAAAUUCAACAUGAGAUGAAAAUAUCAAUUACAGAAAGCAAACUAGGUGAGUAUUCCAGCACGAGAUUUGUCGGAAUCUCUCUAUCACCACCGGAAUGAACUUGGAUCCGGGUCGGGCUGGACGGUGUCGGGUUGCCGGGUCGAGGCUAUUGCUGAAGUUGUGCGCUUAUGUUGUUGUUGAUUGGGUCGAGUCAUGGGAGUUGGGCAGGUUGGAGUUGUUCUU